rnacentral:rRNA from 1 species
AUUGAACGCUAGCGGGAUGCUUUACACAUGCAAGUCGAACGGCAGCGCGGACUUCGGUCUGGCGGCGAGUGGCGAACGGGUGAGUAAUGUAUCGGAACGUGCCCAGUAGCGGGGGAUAACUACGCGAAAGCGUAGCUAAUACCGCAUACGCCCUACGGGGGAAAGCAGGGGAUCGUAAGACCUUGCACUAUUGGAGCGGCCGAUAUCGGAUUAGCUAGUUGGUGAGGUAACGGCUCACCAAGGCGACGAUCCGUAGCUGGUUUGAGAGGACGACCAGCCACACUGGGACUGAGACACGGCCCAGACUCCUACGGGAGGCAGCAGUGGGGAAUUUUGGACAAUGGGGGCAACCCUGAUCCAGCCAUCCCGCGUGUGCGACGAAGGCCUUCGGGUUGUAAAGCACUUUUGGCAGGAAAGAAACGUCGCGGGCUAAUACCCCGUGGAACUGACGGUACCUGCAGAAUAAGCACCGGCUAACUACGUG